rnacentral:rRNA from 1 species
UACGGAGGGAGCUAGCGUUGUUCUGAAUUACUGGGCGUAAAGCGCACGUAGGCGGCUUUGUAAGUAAGAGGUGAAAGCCCAGAGCUCAACUCUGGAAUUGCCUUUUAGACUGCAUCGCUUGAAUCAUGGAGAGGUCAGUGGAAUUCCGAGUGUAGAGGUGAAAUUCGUAGAUAUUCGGAAGAACACCAGUGGCGAAGGCGGCUGACUGGACAUGUAUUGACGCUGAGGUGCGAAAGCGUGGGGAGCAAACAGG